rnacentral:rRNA from 1 species
GAUGAACGCUGGCGGCGUGCUUAACACAUGCAAGUCGAACGAAGCACUUUGAAACUUUCGGGUUUCAAAGUGACUGAGUGGCGGACGGGUGAGUAACGCGUGGGUAACCUGCCUUAUACAGGGGGAUAACAGUUAGAAAUGACUGCUAAUACCGCAUAAGCCGAUAGAGUCACAUGACUUAGUCGGAAAAGAUUUAUCGGUAUAAGAUGGACCCGCGUCUGAUUAGCUAGUUGGUGAGGUAAUGGCCCACCAAGGCGACGAUCAGUAGCCGGCUUGAGAGAGUGAACGGCCACAUUGGGACUGAGACACGGCCCAAACUCCUACGGGAGGCAGCAGUGGGGAAUAUUGCACAAUGGGGGAAACCCUGAUGCAGCAACGCCGCGUGAAGGAAGAAGUAUUUCGGUAUGUAAACUUCUAUCAGCAGGGAAGAAAAUGACGGUACCUGACUAAGAAGCCCCGGCUAACUACGUGCCAGCAGCCGCCGUAACAC